rnacentral:tRNA from 1 species
GGGGCUGUAACUCAAUGGUAGAGUACUUGCCUUCUAUUUGCAAGGUCAUGUAUUCCAUCCCCA